rnacentral:rRNA from 1 species
AACGUAGGAGACAACCGUUAUCCGGAGUUACUGGGCGUAAAGGGCGUGUAGGUGGUUACGUAAGUCUGGCGUGAAAUUUCUCGGCUUAACCGAGGCAGGUCGUCGGAUACUGCGAGACUAGAGGACGGUAGAGGCGUGUGGAAUUCCGGGUGUAGUGGUGAAAUGCGUAGAGAUCCGGAGGAACACCAGUGGCGAAGGCGACACGCUGGGCCGUACCUGACACUGAGGCGCGAUAGCAUGGGGAGCAAACAGG